rnacentral:rRNA from 1 species
UAGAGUUUGAUCAUGGCUCAGAUUGAACGCUGGCGGCAGGCCUAACACAUGCAAGUCGAGCGGUAACAUGUCUAGCUUGCUAGAUGAUGACGAGCGGCGGACGGGUGAGUAAUGCUUGGGGAUCUGCCUUAGAGUGGAGGAUAACCAUUGGAAACGAUGGCUAAUACUGCAUAGUAUCUGCGGAUUAAAGGGGGCUUCGGCUCUUGCUUUAAGAUGAACCCAAGUGGGAUUAGCUAGUUGGUGAGGUAAUGGCUCACCAAGGCGACGAUCCCUAGCUGGUCUAAGAGGAUGAUCAGCCACACUGGAACUGAGACACGGUCCAGACUCCUACGGGAGGCAGCAGUGGGGAAUAUUGCACAAUGGGCGAAAGCCUGAUGCAGCCAUGCCGCGUGUGUGAAGAAGGCCCUAGGGUUGUAAAGCACUUUCAGUCAGGAGGAAAGGUUAGUAGUUAAUACCUGCUAACUGUGACGUUACUGACAGAAGAAGCACCGGCUAACUUCGUGCCAGCAGCCGCGGUAAUACGAGGGGUGCAAGCGUUAAUCGGAAUUACUGGGCGUAAAGCGAGCGUAGGCGGCUGAAUAAGCUGGAUGUGAAAAACCGGGGCUCAACCUCGGCCGUGCAUUCAGAACUGUUUAGCUAGAGUCCUGUAGAGGA